rnacentral:rRNA from 1 species
GGCGAACGCUGGCGGCGUGCCUAAUACAUGCAAGUCGAGCGCUUCUUUCCUCCCGAGUGCUUGCACUCAAUUGGAAAGAGGAGUGGCGGACGGGUGAGUAACACGUGGGUAACCUACCCAUCAGAGGGGGAUAACACUUGGAAACAGGUGCUAAUACCGCAUAACAGUUUAUGCCGCAUGGCAUAAGAGUGAAAGGCGCUUUCGGGUGUCGCUGAUGGAUGGACCCGCGGUGCAUUAGCUAGUUGGUGAGGUAACGGCUCACCAAGGCCACGAUGCAUAGCCGACCUGAGAGGGUGAUCGGCCACACUGGGACUGAGACACGGCCCAGACUCCUACGGGAGGCAGCAGUAGGGAAUCUUCGGCAAUGGACGAAAGUCUGACCGAGCAACGCCGCGUGAGUGAAGAAGGUUUUCGGAUCGUAAAACUCUGUUGUUAGAGAAGAACAAGGACGUUAGUAACUGAACGUCCCCUGACGGUAUCUAACCAGAAAGCCACGGCUAACUACGUG